rnacentral:rRNA from 11 species
AAAUACCAUAAUAUCUAAAUACCCGUACUCAAUCUCCUCUGACCUUAAAAGCUGAGCAGUCCAGUCCUGAAUUAUACUUGGAUGGGAAACUGCUAAGGGAUACCAGGUGCUGUACACU